rnacentral:rRNA from 1 species
ACUGCGAAUGGCUCAUUAAAUCAGUUAUGGUUCAUUUGAUCGUACGCUUUAAUACAUGGAUAACUGUGGCAAUUCUAGAGCUAAUACAUGCGUGAAGCACCGACCUGACGGGAGGUGUGCAUUUAUCAGACCAAAACUAACCGGGUUUCGGCCCGUUUCGAUGGUGACUCUGGAUAAGCUCGCGGAUCGCACGGUCUUGCACCGGCGACAUCUCUUUAAAGCAACUGCCCUAUCAACUAUCGUCGGUACGGUAUCGGCCUACCGAGGUUGUAACGGGUGACGGAGAAUCAGGG